CCGCGAGACAGGGUUCGACAGUGGAUACAGAAAACGGUAAAUAGGGAGCAGGUAGGGGUUAGCCAGUAUAGAGACAGGUCAUUAAGGAGCAGGUAGGGGUUAGCCAGUAUAGAGACAGGUCAUUAAGGAGCAGGUAGGGGUUAGACAGUACAGAGACAGGUCAUAAAGGAGCAGGUAGGGGUUAGACAGUAGAGACAGGUCAUUAAGGAGCAGGUAGGGGUUAGACAGUACAGAGACAGUUCAUUAAGGAGCAGGUAGGGGUUAGACAGUAGAGACAGGUCAUUAAGGAGCAGGUAGGGGUUAGACAGUACAGAGACAGGUCAUUAAGGAGCAGGUUGGGGUUAGACAGUAGAGACAGGUCAUUAAGGAGCAGGUAGGGGUUAGACAGUAGAGACAGGUCAUAAAGGAGCAGGUAGUGGUUAGACAGUGAGGUGGGCAGGAUGUCAACCAACCACUCUGGCACCUUGGUGUCAGAGAGUGAAAGUCAUAGCGAACAGGAAGCUCGUUCCACGGGCCACUUCAAACAGGAAGUGGGCUGCUUCCUGCUCCUCUCCCCAAGGCAUCGACGAUUUCCUGCCAAUCAGAGAGUGACGAGGGGGGCCUGGUGGGUUUUACGUGGCUUGGUUGGGUCUCAGCGGCCCUGGGAUGGGCUUUGAGGGGAUUCGCCA
ensembl:lncRNA